rnacentral:rRNA from 1 species
AGUGAACGCUGGCGGUAGGCCUAACACAUGCAAGUCGAACGGCAGCACAGUAAGAGCUUGCUCUUACGGGUGGCGAGUGGCGGACGGGUGAGGAAUACAUCGGAAUCUACUUUUUCGUGGGGGAUAACGUAGGGAAACUUACGCUAAUACCGCAUACGACCUACGGGUGAAAGCAGGGGAUCUUCGGACCUUGCGCGAUUGAAUGAGCCGAUGUCGGAUUAGCUAGUUGGCGGGGUAAAGGCCCACCAAGGCGACGAUCCGUAGCUGGUCUGAGAGGAUGAUCAGCCACACUGGAACUGAGACACGGUCCAGACUCCUACGGGAGGCAGCAGUGGGGAAUAUUGGACAAUGGGCGCAAGCCUGAUCCAGCCAUACCGCGUGGGUGAAGAAGGCCUUCGGGUUGUAAAGCCCUUUUGUUGGGAAAGAAAAGCAGCAGGUUAAGACCCCGCUGUUCUGACGGUACCCAAAGAAUAAGCACCGGCUACUUCGUG